GGUGUAUAAGAUAAAUAUUGUAUGUAAGUGUUGGCCUGAUAGUAAAGAGGUGUUAUAUGUAUAGUCAGUGUGUGUAAGAGCAAUAAUUAAAGAUAUAAAACGGUCUCAAAAAGAAUGACUGAUCAUCAUGUAGCCUAGAGACGGUCAUCAUGAACCAUUCUGGCCAAUUCGCCAUUUCCCUAGUUCUACUAUUGUUGGCAGCGGCUGGCUAUUUAGUGGCCUUGGCAACAACAUCGUGGUCAAUUAGUGGUCAGUUAUUAGUGUUUGGACUAUGGCAAUAUUGUUUUCUUGAUACUAAACCUGAUGGAGAGAAAAUCUGGAAGUGUCUGACAAACAACACAGAUUUUACAAUGGUGUCCCAAGCAUUUUCAAUUUUAGCAGUAAUGUGUUAUUUUGUUGCCUUCCUGUUGUAUGUGGCAUCAGUUCUCAUGCCUAGUUUACAUAGAUGUCGACCAAUGAUAAUGGCUCUCUGUCUACUUACAUUCUGUAUAGUGAGUCUACAGAUUAUGUCAAUGGUUGUGUUUGGUGUUAAGAUCGGACAUUAUUUCAAAAAGUUAGAAGAUAAACACUUUGACAUUUCACUGGAGCCAUUAACCAUAUCCUGGUCAUCUACCAUUGGUAUUAUCUCAAAUAUUUUAGCCACGGCAGCUGGUGUGUGUUUAUUUUUAGAAUUGCGUAAUGUGGCAGUGGAAGAACUUAAUGUUUGAUAAUUCCAGGGCAUGAUUUAUUCAACGAAAAGAUAGUGCUAUGUAGAUUGGAAAUAUAUUAUUUACUAUUGUAUUAUGAAUGGUUGUGGAUUGAAGACAGCGUUGGGCGUGAGAAAUAAUAGAAAUCACAACAAUGAUGCCAAGCAAAACAAGGACAAAUAUUACACUAUCUCGUGUGUAUUCCUGAACCUCGUGUAUAUUUUCUACAUUUUGUACUUUUGCUUUUUUUUAUAUAAUUGAAAGAAAAUAACCAUUACCGUAACAGUUUAAUUUCGUUCAUUUACUAUUUAUCAUUAGUUGAUGUUUAUGUGUACCUAAUGGGACAUAAAACAUAAACUUUAUUACACCCUAGAGAAUAUCAAUUUAUAUCUUAACUACCUUUUCCCGGUCUGUCUUUUAAUAUGGAUUCUUUUUAAAUUCUAAUUAAUGAAUCUGAACUUUUCUUGGUAUUAUAUUGCCUCUAAUCUUAUUAAAAUCAGAUUUUAUUUUGUGCCGUUCCAUUAACAGAUAAUUGUGUCAAUAACCAAAGGGGUUCAAAAGACUUUAUGGAAUUGUUUGCAUCACGGGUUUUGAUGGGUAGGUUGAACUGGGGUCGUUAUCAUGUAUUAUUAAAUGUGGGCUGUAAGGUUUGUCUUUAGGCCCGGGUGUAAUUGAGUGAACCAUCGAAAAAUAAAACGUAACGAAAUAUAAUUUUAAUUAGACCGUAAACCCUUAGCCAGUAUGUUGUUUUGUCUUUAACAAUACAUGUUACUGCCAUCAUCCAUCACAUUAUAUAUAAACAAAUGCAUUAAGAGAAAUAACCACCUUUAUUAUAUACACUUUAUAAAGGAAUGGAAACAAAAAGUUGAGUUGUAGUUGGAGAAAAGAUGUCUUCAGCUCUCUUUAAUAAAAUGUAUUCAUCAAGA